AUUGAACGCUGGCGGCAGGCCUAACACAUGCAAGUCGAGCGGAUGAAGGGAGCUUGCUCCUGGAUUCAGCGGCGGACGGGUGAGUAAUGCCUAGGAAUCUGCCUGGUAGUGGGGGAUAACGUCCGGACACGGGCGCUAAUACCGCAUACGUCCUGAGGGAGAAAGUGGGGGAUCUUCGGACCUCACGCUAUCAGAUGAGCCUAGGUCGGAUUAGCUAGUUGGUGGGGUAAAGGCCUACCAAGGCGACGAUCCGUAACUGGUCUGAGAGGAUGAUCAGUCACACUGGAACUGAGACACGGUCCAGACUCCUACGGGAGGCAGCAGUAGGGAAUAUUGGACAAUGGGCGAAAGCCUGAUCCAGCCAUGCCGCGUGUGUGAAGAAGGUCUUCGGAUUGUAAAGCUCUUUAAGUUGGGAAGAAGAGCAGUAAGUUAAUACCUUGCUGUUUUGACGUUACCAACAGAAUAAGCAACGGCUAACUUCGUG
rnacentral:rRNA from 1 species